rnacentral:rRNA from 1 species
GGAGGAAAAGAAACCAACAGGGAUUGCCUCAGUAGCGGCGAGUGAAGCGGCAAAAGCUCAAAUUUGAAAUCUGGCGUCUUUGGCGUCCGAGUUGUAAUUUGAAGAAGGUAUCUUUGGGCCCGGCUCUUGUCUAUGUUCCUUGGAACAGGACGUCACAGAGGGUGAGAAUCCCGUGCGAUGAGAUGACCCGGGUCUGUGUAAAGUUCCUUCGACGAGUCGAGUUGUUUGGGAAUGCAGCUCUAAGUGGGUGGUAAAUUCCAUCUAAAGCUAAAUAUUGGCGAGAGACCGAUAGCGAACAAGUACAGUGAUGGAAAGAUGAAAAGAACUUUGAAAAGAGAGUGAAAAAGUACGUGAAAUUGUUGAAAGGGAAGGGCUUGAGAUCAGACUUGGUAUUUUGCAUGUUGCUCUCUCGGGGGCGGCCGCUGCGGUUUACCGGGCCAGCAUCGGUUUGGAGCGGCAGGAUAAUGGCGGAGGAAUGUGGCACGGCUUCUGCUGUGUGUUAUAGCCUCUGACGAUACUGCCAGCCUAGACCGAGGACUGCGGUUUUUACCUAGGAUGUUGGCAUAAUGAUCUUAAGUCGCCCGUCUU